rnacentral:rRNA from 1 species
AUGAACGCUAGCUACAGGCUUAACACAUGCAAGUCGAGGGGAAACGACAUCGAAAGCUUGCUUUUGAUGGGCGUCGACCGGCGCACGGGUGAGUAACGCGUAUCCAACCUGCCCAUCACUUGGGAAUAACCUUGCGAAAGUAAGACUAAUACCCAAUGAUAUCCCACGAAGGCAUCGGAAUGGGAUUAAAGAUUUAUCGGUGAUGGAUGGGGAUGCGUCUGAUUAGCUUGUUGGCGGGGUAACGGCCCACCAAGGCAACGAUCAGUAGGGGUUCUGAGAGGAAGGCCCCCCACAUUGGAACUGAGACACGGUCCAAACUCCUACGGGAGGCAGCAGUGAGGAAUAUUGGUCAAUGGGCGAGAGCCUGAACCAGCCAAGUAGCGUGCAGGAAGACGGCCCUAUGGGUUGUAAACUGCUUUUAUAAGGGAAUAAAGUGGGUCACGUGUGACUUUUUGCAUGUACCUUAUGAAUAAGGACCGGCUAAUUCCGUG